ensembl:snRNA U6 U6 spliceosomal RNA
GUGCUCACUUCAGCAGCGCAUAUACUAAAAUUGGAACGAUACAGAGACGAUUAGCGUGGCCCCUGUGCAAGGGUGAGCGCAAAUUUGUGAAGCAUUCUAUAUUUUU